rnacentral:rRNA from 1 species
AGAGUUUGAUCCUGGCUCAGAGCGAACGCUGGCGGCGUGCCUAACACAUGCAAGUCGAACGUGAACGGGGGCAACCCCUAGUAAAGUGGCGUACGGGUGAAUAACGCGUAGGCAAUCUACCCCAGAGUCUGGAAUAACCGGCCGAAAGGCUGGCUAAUACUAGAUAGAGCGACGGAAUCCGUAAUUGGGUUUUUCGGGAAAGGGAGGGAGCAAUCCCCCUUGCUCUGGGAUGGGCCUGCGUCCCAUCAGCUAGUUGGUAAGGUAACGGCUUACCAAGGCGAUGACGGGUAGCUGGUCUGAGAGGAUGAUCAGCCACACUGGAACUGAAACACGGUCCAGACUCCUACGGGAGGCAGCAGUGGGGAAUCUUGCGCAAUGGACGAAAGUCUGACGCAGCCACGCCGCGUGAGUGAAGAAGGCCUUCGGGUUGUAAAGCUCUGUCGGAGGGGACGAAAAUGCUUAGGGUUCACAGCCCUAGGAACUGACGGUACCCUUAAAGGAAGCACCGGCUAACUCUGUGCCAGCAGCCGCGGUAAUACAGAGGGUGCAAGCGUUGCUCGGAAUCAUUGGGCGUAAAGGGCAAGUAGGUGGUCUCAUUUGUCUAGGGUGAAAUCCUUGAGCUUAACUCAAGAAGUGCCCUAGAAACGGUGGGACUAGAGUUCUGGAGAGGGUCGUGGAAUUCCCGGUGUAGCGGUGAAAUGCGUAGAGAUCGGGAGGAACACCAGAGGCGAAGGCGGCGACCUGGACAGAUACUGACACUCAACUGCGAAAGCGUGGGGAGCAAACAGGAUUAGAUACCCUAGUAGUCC